rnacentral:rRNA from 1 species
CCUACGGGAGGCAGCAGUGAGGAAUAUUGGUCAAUGGGCGCGAGCCUGAACCAGCCAAGUAGCGUGAAGGAUGACUGUCCUACGGGUUGUAAACUUCUUUUAUAAAGGAAUAAAGUGAGGCACGUGUGCCUUUUUGUAUGUACUUUAUGAAUAAGGCUCGGCUAACUCCGUUCCAGCCGCCGCGGUAAUACGGAGGAUCUGAGAGUUAUUCGGAUUUAGUGGGUUUAAAGGGAUGGUAGAUGGGUUGUUAAGUCAGUUGUGAAAGUUUGCGGCUCAACCGUAAAAUUGCAAUUGAUACUGGCAGUCUUGAGUACAGUUGAGGUAGGCGGAAUUCGUGGUGUAGCGGUGAAAUGCUUAGAUAUCACGAAGAACUCCGAUUGCGAAGGCAGCUUACUAAACUGCCACUGACAUUGAGGCUCGAAAGUGUGGGUAUCAAACAGGAUUAGAUACCCCGGUAGUC